ACAUAAUUAUAAUUUAUUUUUAAAUUAAUAAAAAUUAUUUUAAUAAAAAUAGUUUAAUAUAAAUAUAAAUAAAUUUUUUUAUAAAAAAAUUAUAAUAUAAAUAUAAUAAUUUAAAAAGAAAAAAUAAUUAUUUUUUCCUUUUGUAUCAGGAUUAAUUUAAUUUAUUUAACAAAUUAAUUUUCUCGAAAUAAAAAAACUUAAAUAAAUAAUAAAAUUAAUGUAAAAAUAUUAUUAAUAAUAUUUAUUUAGAAAUUAUAUAUUAAUCAAUUUUUAUUAUAUCUAGUUAUUUAAUAAAAAAUUUAAUUUUUUUAAAAAUUUUUAUUUUAAAUUAAUUUUAUUUAAAAUAAAAUUUUUAAAUAAAAUUUAAGGGAUAAACUUUAAAUUUAAAUUAUAAUUAAUAAAUUAUAUAAAAUAUAAUUAUAAAAUUUAAAUUUUUUUAUAAUACAAAAAAUGUAAUAAUUUAUUUUUUAUAAAAUAAAAUUUAUAUAAAUUUAAAUAAUUAUUAAAUUAUUUUAAUAAAUAAAAUUAUAAUAAUAAUAAUAAUUAAAUUAGUAAAUUAAUUUUUAAUAAAUAAUUAAUUUUUAAUAAAUUAUUAAUUAAAAAAUUAGGCAAAAUUAUAUAUUUACCUGUUUAACAAAAACAUGUCUUAAAGAUUUUAAUUUUAAGUCAAAUCUGCCCAAUGAAUUUUAAAUGGCUGCAGAAUUUAUAACUGUACAAAGGUAGCAUAAUAAUUUGUUUUUUAAUUAAAAACUUGAAUGAAUGAUUAAAUAAAAUAUAAACUAUCUCAAUUAAAUAAUAAUUUAAUUUUUUAUUUAAGUUAAAAAACUUAAAUAAAUUUAAAAGACGAUAAGACCCUAUAGAAUUUAAUUUAUUAUUUAUAAUUAAAUUAAACUUAUAUUUAAUUAUAAAUAAUAAAUUUAAUUGGGGUAAUUUUUAAAUUAAAUAAAUUUUUUAUAUAUUAAACAAUAAUUUUUGAAAAUUAUAUCUAAUAAUAUUAAAUAAAAAAUUAAUUACCUUAGGGAUAACAGCAUAAUUUUUUUUAAAAGAUCAUAUUAAUAAAAAAGAUUAUGACCUCGAUGUUGAAUUAAGAUAAAAUUUAAAUGAAAAAAAUUAAAAUUUUAAGUCUGUUCGACUUUUAAAAUCUUACAUGAUUUGAGUUAAGAUCGGUGUAAGCCAGAUCAGAUUCUAUCUUUAAAUAAUUAAAAUAUAAUUGUACGAAAGGAAUUUAUAUAUUAAAAUAAUUUUUAAAAUAAUAAUUAAAUAAUUAUAUU
rnacentral:rRNA from 1 species